rnacentral:rRNA from 1 species
AUUGAACGCUGGCGGCAGGCUUAACACAUGCAAGUCGAGCGGGGGAAGGUAGCUUGCUACCUAACCUAGCGGCGGACGGGUGAGUAAUGCUUAGGAAUCUGCCUAUUAGUGGGGGACAACAUUUCGAAAGGGAUGCUAAUACCGCAUACGCCCUAAGGGGGAAAGCAGGGGAUCUUCGGACCUUGCGCUAAUAGAUGAGCCUAAGUCGGAUUAGCUAGUUGGUGGGGUAAAGGCCUACCAAGGCGACGAUCUGUUGCGGGUCUGAGAGGAAGAUCCGCCACACUGGGACUGGGAAACGGCCCAGACUCCUACGGGAGGUAGCAGUGGGGAAUAUUGGACAAUUGGGGGAACCCUGAUCCAGCCAUGCCGCGUGUGUGAAGAAGGCCUUUUGGUUGUAAAGCACUUUAAGCGAGGAGGAGGCUACCGAGAUUAAUACUCUUGGAUAGUGGACGUUACUCGCAGAAUAAGCACCGGCUAACUCUGUGCCAGCAGCCGCCGUAA